UCCUCCCUCUUUCUUCGUGCUUAACACAUGCAAGUCGAACGGAAAGGCCCUGCUUUUGUGGGGUGCUCGAGUGGCGAACGGGUGAGUAACACGUGAGUAACCUGCCCUUGACUUUGGGAUAACUUCAGGAAACUGGGGCUAAUACCGGAUAGGAGCUCCUGCUGCAUGGUGGGGGUUGGAAAUUUUCGGCGGUUGGGGAUGGACUCGCGGCUUAUCAGCUUGUUGGUGGGGUAGUGGCUUACCAAGGCUUUGACGGGUAGCCGGCCUGAGAGGGUGACCGGCCACAUUGGGACUGAGAUACGGCCCAGACUCCUACGGGAGGCAGCAGUGGGGAAUAUUGCACAAUGGGCGGAAGCCUGAUGCAGCAACGCCGCGUGCGGGAUGACGGCCUUCGGGUUGUAAACCGCUUUCGCCUGUGACGAAGCGUGAGUGACGGUAAUGGGUAAAGAAGCACCGGCUAACUACGUG
rnacentral:rRNA from 1 species